rnacentral:rRNA from 1 species
CCUACGGGAGGCAGCAGUGAGGAAUAUUGGUCAAUGGACGAGAGUCUGACCCAGCCAAGUAGCGUGAAGGAUGACUGCCCUAUGGGUUGUAAACUUCUUUUAUAAAGGAAUAAAACGAGGCACGUGUGCCUUUUUGCAUGUACUUUAUGACUAAGGAUCGGCUAACUCCGUGCCAGCAGCCGCGGUAAUACGGAGGAUCCGAGCGUUAUCCGGAUUUAUUGGGUUUAAAGGGAGCGUAGAUGGGUUGUUAAGUCAGUUGUGAAAGUUUGCGGCUCAACCGUAAAAUUGCAAUUGAUACUGGCAGUCUUGAGUACAGGUGAGGUAGGCGGAAUUCGUGGUGUAGCGGUGAAAUGCGUAGAUAUCACGAAGAACCCCGAUUGCGAAGGCAGCUGACUAAACUGUGACUGACAUUGAUGCUCGAAAGUGUGGGUAUCAAACAGGAUUAGAUACCCUGGUAGUC